rnacentral:rRNA from 1 species
UACGUAGGCAGCGAGCGUUGUUCGGAGUUACUGGGCGUAAAGGGUGCGUAGGCGGCUUGUUGCGUCGACUGUGAAAACCCGCGGCUUAACCGCGGGCUUGCAGUUGAUACGGGCAGGCUAGAGUUCGGUAGGGGAGACUGGAAUUCCUGGUGUAGCGGUGAAAUGCGCAGAUAUCAGGAGGAACACCGGUGGCGAAGGCGGGUCUCUGGGCCGAUACUGACGCUGAGGAGCGAAAGCGUGGGGAGCGAACAGG